AUAAUGAUGACUUAUAUCCCAAUGAUUCUGUGAUUAAACUAGUUUUUGUAUCCUCUAAGAAGAUCUGAAAGC